ACAAAUUCGGAUGGCAGAACCAUCAAGUCACAAUAUCCGGUGCUGGACAAUCACCCAUACUCAGAGGAAGGUCAGGCCCCACCAUAAUGCAUGUGAUGAGUCAUGCCAAACUGCACACAGAGAUACAGGUGAGGAGGAUAGAGAUCAGAAAAGUUAAGUAACUUGCCAAAUGUCACACAGUGAACAAGAGUCGCUAUCUGGACCUAAAUCCACAUCUUUUCUAACAUCGACACCCAUGCUGUUGCAUGACAUCGCACUAAGGAACUACCUAACAAUGCCUGACAUCUACCAUGCUGGAAGCAAAGGUACAAGUCCGGAGGAGUCUGAUGUCAAUGCCAAGGAAAGUCCUCUACUGGCAAGUAUGUGACACUGGGAAGA